GGGGGUAUAGCUCAGCUGGGAGAGCACCUGCCUUGCAAGCAGGGGGUCAGCGGUUCGAUCCCGCUUACCUCCA
rfam:Syntrophobotulus glycolicus DSM 8271, complete genome.